CUGGGUCCGUGAUCCGGAUCAGGGACAGUGUCUGAUGGGUAGUUUAACUGGGGCGGUUGCCUCCUAAAGAGUAACGGAGGCGCCCAAAGGUUCCCUCAGCCUGGUUGGCAAUCAGGUGUUGAGUGUAAGUGCACAAGGGAGCUUGACUGUGAGACCGACGGGUCGAGCAGGGACGAAAGUCGGGACUAGUGAUCCGGCAGUGGCUUGUGGAAGCGCUGUCGCUCAACGGAUAAAAGGUACCCCGGGGAUAACAGGCUGAUCUUCCCCAAGAGUCCAUAUCGACGGGAUGGUUUGGCACCUCGAUGUCGGCUCGUCGCAUCCUGGGGCUGGAGUCGGUCCCAAGGGUUGGGCUGUUCGCCCAUUAAAGCGGUACGCGAGCUGGGUUUAGAACGUCGUGAGACAGUUCGGUCCCUAUCCGCUGCGCGCGCAGGAAUAUUGAGAAGGGCUGUCCCUAGUACGAGAGGACCGGGACGGACGAACCUCUGGUGUGCCAGUUGUCCUGCCAAGGGCAUGGCUGGUUGGCUACGUUCGGAAAGGAUAACCGCUGAAAGCAUCUAAGCGGGAAGCCUGCUUCGAGAUGAGUAUUCCCACCCCCUUUGAGGGGUUAAGGCUCCCAGUAGACGACUGGGUUGAUAGGCCAGAUGUGGAAGCCCGGUAACGGGUGGAGCUGACUGGUACUAAUAGGCCGAGGGCUUGUCCUCAGUUG
rnacentral:rRNA from 1 species